UACGUAGGGAGCGAGCGUUGUCCGGAAUUACUGGGCGUAAAGGGUGCGUAGGCGGCGAAGCAAGUCAGAUGUGAAAUCCCCGGGCUUAACUCGGGGGGUGCAUUUGAAACUGCUUUGCUUGAGUGCAGGAGAGGAAAGCGGAAUUCCUAGUGUAGCGGUGAAAUGCGUAGAUAUUAGGAAGAACACCAGUGGCGAAGGCGGCUUUCUGGACUGUAACUGACGCUGAGGCACGAAAGCGUGGGGAGCAAACAGG
rnacentral:rRNA from 1 species